rnacentral:rRNA from 1 species
GCACAAGCGGUGGAGCAUGUGGUUCAAUUCGAAGCAACGCGAAGAACCUUACCAGCCUUUGACAUCCCGGUCGCGAGCACCAGAGAUGGAGCUCUUCAGUUCGGCUGGACCGGAGACAGGUGCUGCAUGGCUGUCGUCAGCUCGUGUCGUGAGAUGUUGGGUUAAGUCCCGCAACGAGCGCAACCCUCGCCCUUAGUUGCCAUCAUUUAGUUGGGCACUCUAAGGGGACUGCCGGUGAUAAGCCGGAGGAAGGUGGGGAUGACGUCAAGUCCUCAUGGCCCUUACAGGCUGGGCUACACACGUGCUACAAUGGCGGUGACAGAGGGACGCAAAGGAGCAAUCCUUCGCAAAUCUCAAAAAGCCGUCUCAGUUCGGAUUGUGCUCUGCAACUCGAGCACAUGAAGUUGGAAUCGCUAGUAAUCGCAGAUCAGCACGCUGCGGUGAAUACGUUCCCGGGC